rnacentral:rRNA from 1 species
AAAGGGUGGCGUAGGCGGCCUGUUAAGUCAGGGGUGAAAGACGGUAGCUCAACUAUCGCAGUGCCCUUGAUACUGAUGGGCUUGAAUUGACUAGAGGUAGGCGGAAUGUGACAAGUAGCGGUGAAAUGCAUAGAUAUGUCACAGAACACCGAUUGCGAAGGCAGCUUACUAUGGUCUUAUUGACGCUGAGGCACGAAAGCGUGGGGAUCAAACAGGAUUAGAUACCCUGU